ensembl:lncRNA
GCCAGUCAUUUCUGCUUUUGUUCCCACAAGAGGAAACAAUGUGCCUUUCGGAGAACCGCAUGUCGCAAUACCCAAUAAUUAGUUGCUUUGUAGUCCAACGCCUGCGGCGGGAGGUGUUCUUAAGCCAUCGGCGCACGUCGGAGGUUUUUGUAACGGAUACAAUUUGGGCGGCGCUACGUUCGGCGACCGAUUAUUGAAACAAGUUGAACAUGCGUUCCGUCUGCAUACGUCACACAGAGCAUCUCACACGUACAGAUCCGACCCUCUUUACUGCGAGAAUGUUGACCUGAACUCAUCAGCCACUGUGUGGGUUCUAAAUCAUGCCGGUGAUGAUGUUAGUGACACACGUCACUUGGCUCAAUUGAAGCUUGGACGAUGAGAAGGUCCGAGGCGAAAGCGGUUCGUGUUUCUUCAGUGUGGCCGGUGUGCUUCAGGCAGCCAUCAUUGUAGUUUUCAAUCUGCGAGGAUGAACCUCGAACACACGUCGAGUGUGUUUCUUCGCCUGUGACUAUCUGAGCCUGUGAGCAAAGCAUUAAUGUGCCUGACGGUGCUCUAAUGAUCAGAUUUUCAUAGCAGUAAAAGUAUGUUAACCGGCUCGUCUGUGUGAGUACAUACACAAAGACACUGUGAAAUUCAACACUUGACAACCUCCUCUGUUGUCUCAUUUUCACUUUUUUUUUUAAUGCAACAGUGAAAAGAUCAAACUUUUCUCAAUUCUCACCAGCUCAUCUUUACUUUCGCCGAACAUCUCGAGCCCUUUCAGGCCACCCUGCACUUUGUUCUCAGAAAGCUUGAAUAUGCGCGGCGGGAGUGAGUGUUGAUUUAGGAGGGGCGGGGGGGGGGGCAUAAGGAAGACAUUUGAGUCGCUUGCACUUUGGUGUUUUUUAGGAGUUCUUAGCAUCCACACUGGCGAAUAGAGGAAAUCUGUGUCGGUGUCACCCGUCUGUCUCUUCACAGAAGGCACUAAUCACACGCUAAUUUCACCAUGUCGGGUGCCGAGGCAACAGGACUUGACAGUGACGUGAACUAAUGGUCAUCGCUCAGCCGCACCGGCGUGUUCCCAGACCGCCUCGUUCGUCCCGACCAAUCGCAGGGCGCCCUCUUAAGUCCCGGGCCUCAGCCACCGCCGCGGGCUGACCGCGCUGCUGUCGGACGAAUCCUCGCCGUUCCGUUAUCUUCUGCUUUUCCUUUUCUCUUUUUUUCUCCUUCUGCUGUCAGGUAGGAUUUGGAGCGUGUAAAUGGCAUAAAUCAUGUUCACAUUUCACUGUCUGUUGUGUGUAUCUGCUUCACUGUUCAAAGAGACAAAAAAAGUACCUGUUUUCCAGUAUAACCUGUUCAUUUUUAAGAGCCGUAUGAUGCGACACCUGUAGCUGUCACUCUUGGUGCUUGGCUUAUGCUUCAUUGUCUUAAUAUUCCAAAUAAAACUGUUGUGUAAUCCACACUGGC